rnacentral:lncRNA from 1 species
CGGGGCCAUUAACGGUGCAGCUUCCCCAGAGAUGGGGUUGGAUGGAUUUGGUUAACUCUGACUGGUCCUUUGUGGACUUCUCUCUGCAGCUGCUGCCCACUAGUGGGAGAGAGAGGCCCAGAGAGCAAGUUACAUCAAAGUAGAUAGCAGAAGCCAGACAAACCUGACUUUCCCAUUAGAAUUUUUGGUCUGGUUCAGAGCUUUGUUAGGGGAACAAGCUGCCACAUGUCAACUUUUCUUGCUAUUGGAAGAUGCGAGUCAGCUCGCUCCUUUCUCACUGAUGGAUACUGUAUGGGAGAAAGGACAUUAACUCUACAAAGAGAGACAGUUGCACUAAUUCAGAGGAUGGGUGUAGGUGUAUCUGUUGGCAGCUGUGCUUCUCUCCGUGUUUAUGUGAAUAAAGGUUCCCUCUCCAGAAGAAGUCUUCUUUAG